rnacentral:rRNA from 1 species
UACGGAGGGUGCGAGCGUUGUUCGGAAUCACUGGGCGUAAAGCGCGUGUAGGCGGUCUACUAAGUCUGAUGUGAAAGCCCGGGGCUCACCCCCGGAAGUGCAUUGGAAACUGGCAGACUGGAGUCCCGGAGAGGAGGGUGGAAUUCCUGGUGUAGCGGUGGAAUGCGCAGAUAUCAGGAGGAACACCGGUGGCGAAGGCGGAUCCCUGGGCCUUACCUGACGCUGAGGCGCGAAAGCUAGGGGAGCGAACUGG